rnacentral:rRNA from 1 species
CAGUAGCCCGGGAAUACGAAGGGGGCUAACGUUGCUCGGAAUGACUGGGCGUAAAGGGCGCGUAGGCGGCGAUCAAAGUCAGGCGUGAAAUUCCUGGGCUCAACCUGGGGGCUGCGCUUGAUACUUGGUUGCUUGAGUGGGGAAGAGGGUCGUGGAAUUCCCAGUGUAGAGGUGAAAUUCGUAGAUAUUGGGAAGAACACCGGUGGCGAAGGCGGCGACCUGGUCCUUGACUGACGCUGAGGCGCGAAAGCGUGGGGAGCAAACAGGAUUAGAUACCCCAGUAGUCCCUGUCUCUUAUACC